rnacentral:rRNA from 1 species
GGUGGCGAUAGCGAAGAGGUCACACCCGUUCCCAUGCCGAACACGGAAGUUAAGCUCUUCAGCGCCGAUGGUAGUCGGGGGUUUCCCCCUGGUGAGAGUAGGACGCCGCCAAGC